AACGAACGCUGGCGGCGUGCCUAACACAUGCAAGUCGAACGGGAAAGCCCGCAAGGGUGAGUACAGUGGCGCACGGGUGCGUAACACGUGGGUAAUCUGCCCAGAAGCCCGGAAUAACUCCCCGAAAGGGGUGCUAAUGCCGGAUGAGACCACGGGGACUUCGGUUCCUGGGGGAAAAGGUGGCCUCUGUAUACAAGCUAUCACUUCUGGAUGAGCCCGCGGCCCAUCAGCUAGUUGGCGGGGUAAUGGCCCACCAAGGCUACGACGGGUAGCUGGUCUGGGAGGACGAUCAGCCACACUGGAACUGAGACACGGUCCAGACUCCUACGGGAGGCAGCAGUGGGGAAUCUUGCGCAAUGGGCGAAGGCCUGACGCAGCAACGCCGCGUGUGUGAUGAAGGCCUUCGGAUCGUAAAGCACUGUCGGGAGGGACGAAUAAGGGCCGGGUGAACAAUCCGGUUCGACGACGGUACCUCCAGAGGAAGCACCGGCUAACUCUGUGCCAGCAGCCGCAGUAA
rnacentral:rRNA from 1 species